rnacentral:rRNA from 1 species
GACGAACGCUGGCGGCGUGCUUAACACAUGCAAGUCGAACGGAAAGGCCUCUUUCGGGGGGUACUCGAGUGGCGAACGGGUGAGUAACACGUGAGUAACCUGCCCUUGACUUUGGGAUAACUUCAGGAAACUGGGGCUAAUACCGGAUAGGAGCUCCUGCUGCAUGGUGGGGGUUGGAAAGUUUCGGCGGUUGGGGAUGGACUCGCGGCUUAUCAGCUUGUUGGUGGGGUAGUGGCUUACCAAGGCUUUGACGGGUAGCCGGCCUGAGAGGGUGACCGGCCACAUUGGGACUGAGAUACGGCCCAGACUCCUACGGGAGGCAGCAGUGGGGAAUAUUGCACAAUGGGUGGAAGCCUGAUGCAGCAACGCCGUGUGCGGGAUGACGGCCUUCGGGUUGUAAACCGCUUUCGCUCAUGACGAAGCUUUGUGUGACGGUAGUGGGUAAAGAAGUACCGGCUAACUACGU